rnacentral:precursor_RNA from 1 species
CAUCUUACCGGGCAGCAUUAGAGUCAAAUAGUUAUUUCUAAUACUGUCAGGUAAAGAUGUC